rnacentral:rRNA from 1 species
GACGAACGCUGGCGGCGUGCCUAAUACAUGCAAGUAGAACGCUGAAGAGAGGAGCUUGCUCUUCUUGGAUGAGUUGCGAACGGGUGAGUAACGCGUAGGUAACCUGCCUUGUAGCGGGGGAUAACUAUUGGAAACGAUAGCUAAUACCGCAUAACAAUGGAUGACACAUGUCAUUUAUUUGAAAGGGGCAAUUGCUCCACUACAAGAUGGACCUGCGUUGUAUUAGCUAGUAGGUGAGGUAACGGCUCACCUAGGCGACGAUACAUAGCCGACCUGAGAGGGUGAUCGGCCACACUGGGACUGAGACACGGCCCAGACUCCUACGGGAGGCAGCAGUAGGGAAUCUUCGGCAAUGGGGGCAACCCUGACCGAGCAACGCCGCGUGAGUGAAGAAGGUUUUCGGAUCGUAAAGCUCUGUUGUAAGUCAAGAACGAGUGUGAGAGUGGAAAGUUCACACUGUGACGGUAGCUUACCAGAAAGGGACGGCUAACUACGUGCCAGCAGCCGCGGUAAUACGUAGGUCCCGAGCGUUGUCCGGAUUUAUUGGGCGUAAAGCGAGCGCAGGCGGUUUGAUAAGUCUGAAGUUAAAGGCUGUGGCUCAACCAUAGUUCGCUUUGGAAACUGUCAAACUUGAGUGCAGAAGGGGAGAGUGGAAUUCCAUGUGUAGCGGUGAAAUGCGUAGAUAUAUGGAGGAACACCGGUGGCGAAAGCGGCUCUCUGGUCUGUAACUGACGCUGAGGCUCGAAAGCGUGGGGAGCGAACAGGAUUAGAUACCCUGGUAGUCCACGCCGUAAACGAUGAGUGCUAGGUGUUGGAUCCUUUCCGGGAUUCAGUGCCGCAGCUAACGCAUUAAGCACUCCGCCUGGGGAGUACGACCGCAAGGUUGAAACUCAAAGGAAUUGACGGGGGCCCGCACAUGCGGUGGAGCAUGUGGUUUAAUUCGAAGCAACGCGAAGAACCUUACCAGGUCUUGACAUCCCGAUGCUAUUUCUAGAGAUAGAAAGUUACUUCGGUACAUCGGUGACAGGUGGUGCAUGGUUGUCGUCAGCUCGUGUCGUGAGAUGUUGGGUUAAGUCCCGCAACGAGCGCAACCCCUAUUGUUAGUUGCCAUCAUUCAGUUGGGCACUCUAGCGAGACUGCCGGUAAUAAACCGGAGGAAGGUGGGGAUGACGCCAAAUCAUCAUGCCCCUUAUGACCUGGGCUACACACGUGCUACAAUGGUUGGUACAACGAGUUGCGAGUCGGUGACGGCAAGCUAAUCUCUUAAAGCCAAUCUCAGUUCGGAUUGUAGGCUGCAACUCGCCUACAUGAAGUCGGAAUCGCUAGUAAUCGCGGAUCAGCACGCCGCGGUGAAUACGUUCCCGGGCCU